ACCGUGCCAACCUCCUCAUUGUCCCUGGGCUGUCCACCUGCCCAUGCUCAGCCUAUCUUUUUCUUUGUGUCUGAGCCUCACCAGAGGAGGACAGUCAGGCUUCCUGGCUCUACACUGAGGCUGAAUCUGGGUUGGGGGAAGGUUGUAUCAGAGCAAAUGCGAGCACCAGGCUGUUCAUACUGUCUGACAGGUAUCGGUGAUGGUGCCCAAGCUUCUCCAUGUCCUCCCAAGGCCUGGCCCCACUCCCUGGGGUCCUGGGGCAGGGACAGUGCUGGCCACAGGACUGGGGGCGGGAGCAGCUUCCACCUCACUGGCUCAUCAGCUGCAGAGGAACCUGUCAGGAACCUGUCGGGGCAGGCCACAUAUUCAAGCCAGGCAGGUUCUGCCACCAGACAGGCCAAGGACAGGCUCCCAGAGGAUUUGCAUCCAUUAUCCACCUGGCAACAGGACCUUCUAGAAAGUUCUUUUUCAAAGAGGAACGGAUGUUCCUGCCCUACUUUGUUCCAAGAUGGGAAGGCUGUGGUCUCAGAGGCACCAGGACCAGAGGAGCCUGUGCUCGCCCAUGAUGGGCGUCUUACCAGACACGGUUAGAUCUGGAUGCCUCUGUCUAAUACUGUCUGGUAAUGCCGUCCAUCCACGGCCUGGUCACCGCUGGAGCAGAACUGCUGGACCCAUGGAGCUCUCACUGGAUACCAGGCAAAGGCUGAGGCCUGUGGCCCAUCCGGCACAGCUGCUUGAGGCCCCAGGACCCUGCUGCCUCCCUGCAACUCCAAGGUGGCUUUGCCCCAGCCACAGAGGUGUUGAUGUGCCCAAGGGCUCCAUGUGCUGAAACCUGCAUCUGCUGCCCUCUGGAGCACAGGCAAGCAAGGCUGUUGUGACACAGCCUGGUCCCCACAUGGAGGAGCCUACAAGGGCAGUCACCUGGCACUUGCAGAGAUGGAAGCCCCCACCCUAAGCCUGGCCUUCAGUAUCCCCCACAUACAUAUACAAGGCCAGGUGCCAAAUAAGAACCAGGCAGAAGCACCACUGCCCCAUCCAUGACCCCAAAGCCAGUGUGGGAGAAAAAGACACAUGGGCAGGGAGGGAAUAGUCGGCAUGUGACUCAUCCCAGCCAGCACCACGACCGAGAGACUCCUGAGAGGUGCCACAGGCAGGCCACGGGGAUGGAGAAUGGGCCUUCCUCCACACAUCUAGGGAUGAGGUGGUUGGGGCCACCUCAGGUGGCAGGGGCCAGACCAAGUGAUGGCAACCAUACCCAGGGAAAUCAGGUGUUAGGAAAUGCAACCCUGCCCGAGUCCCCUUUAUGCCCACAGCUCUGUCGGCUGAGACCCAGGGAGCUGAUCACACCCCAGCAUUAGGCACUGACAAGACCCAGUCUUGCAGAAGCGCCCCCAGGCCCUUCUUUCCCAGAAUUUGAAGGAGCUCCACAAAAUUGAUGAUUCUGGAGCAGCUUUGAACUGGCUCAUGAGUGACGUGAGUUUGCUGUGAUGAGCAUUGCAGUGGACCCCUCCCCCAGGGAAUGUGGCAGCUCACUUACCAGACCCACAUGGGCUCGACCUCAGCCCCGGACCCAAACGCCCAAACCUGAGUGUGGCCAGCCCUCAGACUGGUUGGAAGCAUAUCCAAGCCUGGGUGCUAAUCCUGUACCUGGCCACCCCAUGUCCCCAAGGCUCUCCUCUCUAUCUUCAGGGGUGAUGAAGCCAGGCCCUCUUGAGAGCCGCUACACUUAUAAACAAGGAGCCCUGGGACUCAGCUGGCUUCAUUCUGGAGCAGCUCCCACCUGAGCCCUGGACUCUGAGCCAGGCUUCUUGCUGGCAAGGCACCGGAAGGUGUGGGCUCCGCCUUGGUCUUGCGUGCCUCAUUGUAAACAAAAUGGAAAAGUCUGUAUGCAAUAAACUGA